rnacentral:piRNA from 1 species
AGGAACAAGAUACCGCCAGAUAUUUU